ACUCCUACGGGAGGCAGCAGUAGGGAAUCUUCCACAAUGGACGAAAGUCUGAUGGAGCAACGCCGCGUGAACGAUGAAGGCCUCGGUCGUAAAGUUCUGUUGUAAGGGAAGAACAAGUGCCGCAGGCAAUGGCGGCACCUUGACGGUACCUUGCGAGAAAGCCACGGCUAACUACGUGCCAGCAGCCGCGGUAAUACGUAGGUGGCAAGCGUUGUCCGGAAUUAUUGGGCGUAAAGCGCGCGCAGGCGGCCUCUUAAGUCUGAUGUGAAAGCCCCGGCUCAACCGGGGGAGGGCCAUUGGAAACUGGGAGGCUUGAGUAUAGGAGAGAAGAGUGGAAUUCCACGUGUAGCGGUGAAAUGCGUAGAGAUGUGGAGGAACACCAGUGGCGAAGGCGACUCCUUUGGCCUAUAACUGACGCUGAGGCGCGAAAGCGUGGGGAGCAAACAGGAUUAGAUACCCUGGUAGGAUAGCGAGUCGUGGGAGAAGGCACACGAGGGGAUA
rnacentral:rRNA from 1 species